rnacentral:rRNA from 1 species
GAUGAACGCUGGCGGCGUGCCUAAUACAUGCAAGUCGAGCGAAUGGGUUAAGAGUUUGCUCUUAUGAAGUUAGCGGCGGACGGGUGAGUAACACGUGGGUAACCUGCCCAUAAGACUGGGAUAACUCCGGGAAACCGGGGCUAAUACCGGAUAACAUUUUGAACCGCAUGGUUCGAAAUUGAAAGGCGGCUUCGGCUGUCACUUAUGGAUGGACCCGCGUCGCAUUAGCUAGUUGGUGAGGUAACGGCUCACCAAGGCAACGAUGCGUAGCCGACCUGAGAGGGUGAUCGGCCACACUGGGACUGAGACACGGCCCAGACUCCUACGGGAGGCAGCAGUAGGGAAUCUUCCGCAAUGGACGAAAGUCUGACGGAGCAACGCCGCGUGAGUAAUGAAGGCUUUCGGGUCGUAAAACUCUGUUGUUAGGGAAGAACAAGUGCUAGUUGAAUAAGCUGGCACCUUGACGGUACCUAACCAGAAAGCCACGGCUAACUACGUGCCAGCAGCCGCAGUAA